rnacentral:rRNA from 1 species
AAUGAACGUUGGCGGCAUGGAUUAGGCAUGCAAGUCGGGGGAAUCCCAGCAAUGGGGGAACCGGCGUAAGGGGCAGUAAGGCAUGGGUACCUACCUUGGGGUUCGGGAUAGCCAUCAGAGAUGGUGGGUAAUACCGGAUGACGUCGUGAGACCAAAGAUUUAUCGCCCUUAGAGGGGCCCAUGUGAUAUUAACUAGUUGGUGGGGUAACGGCCCACCAAGGCGAAGAUGUCUAGCGGGUGUGAGAGCACGACCCGCGCCACUCGCACUGAGACACUGGCGAGACACCUACGGGUGGCUGCAGUCGAGGAUCUUCGGCAAUGGGCGCAAGCUUGACCGGGCGAUGCCGCGUGAGCGAUGAAGGCCUUGGGGUUGUAAAGCUCUUUAGUGGGGGAGAAAAGCCGCAAGGUGUGAUCUAUCCCAAAAAUAAGCACGGGCUAAGUUCGUGCCAGCAGCCGCCGUAA